rnacentral:rRNA from 1 species
GUCUAUGGCCAUGCCAACCCGAACGUGCCUGAUCUCGUCUGAUCUUGGAAGCUAAGCAGGAUCAGGUCUGGUUAGUAUUUGGAUGGGAGACCAUCUAGGAAGACCAGGUGCUGUAGGCG